UUAUACCCAGACAUAUCUACCGUUCUUUUUUGCUUUCUCUCUCUUCUUCAUGCCUCUUUUUCAUGCUCUCUCUCUCUUCCUUUAAACUCUCUGAUGCAAAUUUUUUCAUUGUUCUUCGCAAAUCAAAUUCCCUUAAUUUGUUCUUGGAUCUUCGUCUUCUAUUAAAUCUGAACAAUGAUAGGCUUGCAUCUGGACAUUCAUUGACAAUUCGUGAAAUGGUGGAGGUCAAUUAUGCUGAACUCAAUGGUGCUACUGCUUUUGAAGCUUCUAGUAAUCUUUGUUUUUUGUAUUAAACGUUUGGUUAAUUUUGGAAUUCUUGGAGGAAUUUUAUUUAUUUAGGUAUUUUAUGUGAAAUGUGAUAUGUAAUUUAAGUGUUCAAUUACUAAUUUAGAACUCAAUUUUAUGAGCCCAAUUCAAUUAUGUCAUUUACUUUUAUGCUUA